GACAGAGGUGCCGAGCGUUAGGCGGAAUCACUGGGCUUAAAGCGUGUGUAGGCGGGUCUUUAAGUGUCUUGUGAAAUCCCACCGCUCAACGGUGGAACCGCUGGGCAUACUGGCGAUCUUGAGCAGGCCAGGGGCGAGCGGAACAAGCGGUGGAGCGGUGAAAUGCGUAGAUAUCGCUUGGAACGCCGACGGUGAAAACAGCUCGCUGGGGAAUCGCUGACGCUGAGACACGAAAGCCAGGGGGGCGAACGGG
rnacentral:rRNA from 1 species